GUAGGGUGGCAAGCGUUGUCCGGAUUUACUGGGCGUAAAGCGCGCGCAGGUGGCCCGCCAAGUCUGGGGGUGAAAUCUCCCGGCUCAACCGGGAGAGGUCUCUGGAAACUGACGGGCUUGAGGAGAGCAGAGGAGAGCGGAAUUUCCGGUGUAGCGGUGAUAUGCGUAGAUAUCGGAAGGAACACCAGUGGCGAAGGCGGCUCUCUGGGCUCUUCCUGACGCUGAGGCGCGAAAGCGUGGGGAGCGAACCGGAUUAGAUACCCGGGUAGUCCACGCUGUAAACGUUGGGCACUAGGUGUGGGAGGUAUUGACCCCUUCCGUGCCGGAGUUAACGCAUUAAGUGCCCCGCCUGGGGAGUACGGCCGCAAAGGCUA
rnacentral:rRNA from 1 species